AGGAUUAAAAAACUUGAUAAAUUCCAAUUUAUCAUCAUAGAAGAACUGGAGAAUUUUGAAAAAGAUUCACAAUCUUUAAAAGAUUUGGAGAAAGAAUUUGCGGACUUUUGGGAAAAGAUAUUUCAGAAGUUCAGUGCAUAUCAGAGAAGUGAACAACAGAGGCUUCAUCUUUUGAAAACAUCAUUGGAUAAAAAUGUCUUCUAUAACACUGAUUAUGAAGAAACUAUAUUUACAUCUGAGAUGUGCCUGAUGAAAGAGAACAUGAAAAUGCUCCAAGACAGGCUUCUGAAGGAAAUGCAAGAAGAGGAACUUCUUAAUGUACGGAGAGGACUGAUGUCAUUAUUCAUGGCCCAUGAAAGAAAUAUUAAUGUGUGAAAUCUUAAUUGCUAUCACAUGUUUUAUCUAAUUAUCUUUUGUAUGUAACUAAGGAAACAAUAGAUUAGUCCUACAAAGAAAAAAACUGCAUGUCACCUAGUCAAGUGUUCCUUUGGAGGAACCCCCAAAUUCAAAGAAAUCCCUCCUUAUGGAUGAGAAACACUGUAACUGGACUCCAAGCCCUAAAGACUUUUGUCUACACAAUAAUACUUUUUCUGUUUUAGAGAGGGGAGGUUUUGGGAAACCAAAUAGUAAAAGGAAUUUACACUAGUUUACUAUACUUAAAAGUUAAUUUAAU
rnacentral:lncRNA from 1 species